CGAAGCGCGGCCGGUUGCCCUGAUAGGCAGCGGCGACGUCGUCCGGAACG
rnacentral:sRNA from 1 species